rnacentral:lncRNA from 1 species
CUUGUAGACCUAUUAAUGGAAGGCAAACACUAAACCUAUUAGACAUGGUAUCCCACUAUCACUACAUCAAUUCUCUUUUAACACAAUUUAAGCUAGUAUUAUGCAUAAAAUCAUGCAGUAGAAACUGACAAAACUGCAGGCAUAGUCCAUCAUCAGCAACUUAAAAAUCAUCUUUGGACCAUAAAUCCACACCACUGUGAGAAAUUUCACAAAUGUCGAUUUGUUACUGCAAAGUGUUGAAACUAAUAUAGUAGAUAUCGUACAUCUUACCCUGUUUGCUUCUUUCAAAAGAAUGGUGCAAUUAAAAUAAAGCAUCAUCGCUCUGCCAAAACAUGGGAUAAAUCUUAUUGAAUAAAGAGAUAGGCAAAUGUCUCUGACCAUCUAAUAGACAGAGAAUCAGUAAAUAUUCUAUUAACAUGAUAGAAACCAGAAGAUCAAGUGCAGUACUAAUUCUUGCAUCCUCCAGAAGAUAUCUACUUAAAUGUCCUGCUCCAUUAAAGCUUCCAAGAGUGCUCAAUAACUACAAGUUAUCAAGACCAAACUAACUAAUGAAUUCUUAUAUGUUUUUCUAUAAGCUACCUGUAACAACAAAAGCACUCAUUCAUUCACGAAUUGUCCAUUAUAUCAGAUGCUCGCCACACAUUCACAUCAUACCAUGACAUAGCAUGCAUAUAAAUGCAGUGACAAAGUAGGUAUGAAGUUAUGAACCAUUGUUCAAGUCCCUUGAUGUGCAUGUUAUAGAUAAUCUAGAGGUUUUUCUAGGAAAUUGUGGUUGAAAGAGAGAGCAACAGGUCUAAGCACAUGACAUAGAAAGGAAAGCGGUAAGAAUACAGAAUGGUUCUAAGAUAGUACUAAUACCCUUCACUGGUAACAAAAAACUCCACAAACGAAUUCAAGGAGACCAAAAUUGAAGUCACGUCGCAUGGAUCAAAAGGAACGAACAGAAAGUGGGAAAUAGCCGUACGAAGUAUCACUCUAAUAAACAAUCAUAGACGGCAAUAAAAGAAAGCUAAUCCUACAGUAACUGCUACCCAUUCAAGAUCCCAUACGUAGAUCCGGAAGAACGAUUGAAGAACAUAGCAGCAAACCGAUAAAAGAGAGAAGAAUUGAGGAAACGGAGGUUACUAGAUUGAUCGGGGCACCAAGCAUGGCAGGUGAUGCACUGCGCGAACUGAUGGAUCGCCACCGCUGCCAUGCCCUAAAUCACCUUCUCCUCCUCCCCCCCUUCGCCACUCCUCUCUCUCUCUCUCUGAGCGAAGGGAACUACGAGAGGAACGAGCAGAGGCGGACUUGAGAGGAUUCGUCGUCGAGGAGGAA